UAAUCAUCUCAGAGAAAAGUUUCAUGAAGAAAUAAAGAAGAAUUACAAUACCGUAUUUGAGGAUAUGUCUUCAAACAUCUGUUCAGUCAUUUAUGCAUACUAAUCAACCUGGAGACAAAAUUAAGAGUAUAUUGUGGUUCACAGUGAAAGUCGAUCGAAUUCCGAUGAAAACUUAUGAUUUAGGCGCCAUACAUCUAAGAUUGUUCUUGUAGUUGUUGGUGUUGUUCAGCUCCAGGCCGACUCAGAAGACGCAGACCUAUGGAGAAAGACUUUCAAGCUGAUUGGAAAGAAUCCGAUUAUGUCUUCUCGACAUAUUGUAUUCAGGUCUACUUUAUUCAAUGCGAACUUCCUUUUGUAAGACGACACGUUGAUGGAACACUGGCUGGUAUUUUUAACCCAACCUGUGACUACACUGAAGAAAUGUCAUUUUGUUCGACACAGAGAUUUCAUCCUCGAUAUAUUUAUGUUGAUUUAA
rnacentral:lncRNA from 1 species